AGCUGGGCCCCUCGCAACGGAAGGUUAUGAACCCCGUCAGGUCCGGAAGGAAGCAGCGGCAGUAACUCAACCCGUGUGCCGCGGGAUCGCCCAGCUAUC
rnacentral:SRP_RNA from 1 species